rnacentral:rRNA from 1 species
GACGAACGCUGGCGGCGUGCUUAACACAUGCAAGUCGAACGAUGAACCCGGAGCUUGCUCCGGCGGAUUAGUGGUGAACGGGUGAGUAACACGUGAGUAACCUGCCCUUGACUCUGGGAUAACUGCUAGAAAUGGUAGCUAAUACCGGAUACGACCCUCGGCGGCAUCGCCAGGGGGUGGAAAGAAUUUCGGUCAAGGAUGGACUCGCGGCCUAUCAGCUAGUUGGUGAGGUAACGGCUCACCAAGGCGACGACGGGUAGCCGGCCUGAGAGGGUGACCGGCCACACUGGGACUGAGACACGGCCCAGACUCCUACGGGAGGCAGCAGUGGGGAAUAUUGCACAAUGGGCGCAAGCCUGAUGCAGCAACGCCGCGUGAGGGAUGACGGCCUUCGGGUUGUAAGCCUCUUUUAGUAGGGAAGAAGCGAAAGUGACGGUACCUGCAGAAAAAGCACCGGCUAACUACGUGCCAGCAGCCGCGGUAA